AUUGAACGCUGGCGGCAGGCCUAACACAUGCAAGUCGAGCGGUUGAAGUGAGCUUGCUCCUGGAUUCAGCGGCGGACGAGUGAGUAAUGCCUAGGAAUCUUCCUGGUAGUGGUGGGUAACGUCAGGGAACGGGAGCUCAUACCGCAUACGUCCUGUGGGAGAAAGUGGGGGAUCUUCGGACCUCACGCGAUCUAAUGGGCCGAGGUCGGGUUAGCUAGUUGGUGGGGUGAAGGCCUAUCACGGCGAUGAUCCGAAACUGGUCUGAACGGGUGAUCAGUCACACGGGAACUGAGACUCGGCACCGACUCUUAAGGGAGGAAGCAGUGCGGAAUAUUGGGCGAUGGGCGAAAGCCUGAUACAGCCAAGCCGGGGGUAUGAAGAAGGUCUUCGGAUUGUAAAGCACUUUAAGUUGGGAGGAAGGGCAGUAAGUUAAUACCUUGCUGUUUUGACGGUACCAACAGAAUAAGCACCGGCUAACUUCGUG
rnacentral:rRNA from 1 species